GUGAGGAAUAUUGCACAAUGGGCGAAAGCCUGAUGCAGCAACGCCGCGUGAGUGAUGAAGGCCUUUGGGUCGUAAAACUCUGUCCUUGGGGAAGAAAAAAAUGACGGUACCCUUGGAGGAAGCCCCGGCUAACUACGUGCCAGCAGCCGCGGUAAUACGUAGGGGGCAAGCGUUAUCCGGAAUUAUUGGGCGUAAAGAGUGCGUAGGUGGUUUUGUAAGCGUAGGGUGAAAGGCAGUAGCUCAACUAUUGUUAGCCCUGCGAACUGUGAGACUUGAGUGCAGGAGAGGAAAGUGGAAUUCCUAGUGUAGCGGUGAAAUGCGUAGAUAUUAGGAGGAACACCAGUGGCGAAGGCGACUUUCUGGACUGUAACUGACACUGAGGCACGAAAGCGUGGGUAGCAAACAGGAUUAGAAACCCUAGUAGUCC
rnacentral:rRNA from 1 species